CUCCCAAACAAUUUCUCCCUAACACUCCAUUGCAACUUUUCCAUCUCCUUAGUCAGUGCUUUCUACCGAGAGUGUCCUCUCGUCGCCUCCAACCUCCGACGCCGUUGCUGCCGCCAACCUCUGCCGCCAUCGCCGCCUCCCUCCUCUACAGCCGUGAAUAAGUCAGUAAACUUGGUUUUGAAAAAUUGAAGCCUUUAAUCUCUGAGGAUGGAGUCCCCAAAGCACGCGGUCACGUUCUAGGCGGAAGCAGCGCCAUAAACGUCGGUUUCUAUAGCAAAGCCGAUGAUGUUUCGGCCGGAGCUCAAGAGUGGACAAUCAGCGGUGAGAGAUUGUUUGCUGGAAUGGAUUCGGUCAGAGGUUUCUCUCUAUUUUUAUUUCUCAGUUCAAAGUUUCAUGCUCAGAUAUAUUGUUGUUGUGGGAGUCUACGCUCAUAUCUGCUGCUGUUGUGGGAGUACGCUCACAUCUACUCCUUUUAUUAUAUCUACAACGGAACUAGCGACGGAGGGAUAGAGGAGGUGGCGGCGGAGUUGGAAAUCGGCCGGUUUGUGCCCAUAUUUCUUCAUCACUCCACCCUGCCACUCACAAUCGACGAAAUUGUAAGUGCUCACCAAAGUUCAUUUGAAGAUGACAAGUACAGUGAAAUCAAGUAUCUCUUUCCUUGUAAUUCAUGGAAGAUGAUUACGGAAAAUGAUGUGACGGUCAUGAUUUCCCUCCUUAAGUCCUCGAAACAUGAACAUUUUAAAAAAUUGAUCAGUCCCUUAAUUAAGCCAUUGCUGCGUUUCCUUUAUCUCCCUUGUUCAUCAAGUGAUUUUAUGCGAAAUCUAGGAUCUGCGUGGUUAUUGAUUGGUGGCUUAUGCUACCAUCUUUUGAUUAGCUACACAUAUUUGGAACCCACUGUAAAAUACUCUGUAAAGCACUCACAGCUGACAGAAAAAAAUUGCUUGUCUCCAGCUUGAGAAUGAGGUAAGAAGAGAGUGUACUUAUUUAUCAGGGUCCUUUCAGUUAAGAGAAGAUGACAGACAUACCAAGGUGUUAGAAGAACUCAAUACCAAGCUGAAGAAACUUCAAAAACAUGACAGAAAAACAUUCACUAUUGUGCUUGAAUGCCAAGAGGAGUAAGUAGCUAGUGAAAAGGGGGAAGCUUUAAGGUAUAAAUACUAGUGAACUUUGCAAACUCUUGUAUUAAAAGUUAAAUUUCUAACUUAUGUAAUUAUUCUUUGCAAACUCUUGUAACUCUUGUAUUAAAACUUUACAAAAACAUUCACUAUUGUGCUUUAAAUACAAGCUUAAGUUCAAAAUGGAGAAGGAAACCUCCAUGACAAGUCUCUUGUUACAAAGGACAACACAAGUCUUGCGUUAGCCACAGUUCCUAUUAUAGUCAGAUUGUCAUCUAAACAAGCCAGCUCAUCAACUACUCAUAUGGAUAUUAUCACCCGGAUAUCAAUUCUUGUUAACUGUUCUCCUUGUGCUCCAGGAGUUGUGUAUGGAUAUUAUCACCCGGAUAUCAAUACAUGUAGUUCUAACAAGUUGAUUAUGACAAAGCGGUUAUUGAUCUGGUGCGUUCAGAAUGGGCCGAUAUUCUAUCAUCAUGUUAUAUAGAGUAGGUAUGAUUUGACGUUGUGAUCAUUUAGACUUGGUUUGUGGAUCAGAAUUGUUUUUUGUAGUAUUAUGACUUGGAUGAUGAUUUGAUUAUAAUUGGUCAUGCUCAGUA